UCAAACUCGCAACGACAGAGUUGUCAGAGGAACAGAGAGUGUCUGCUUCAAAGCUCAUACCACUUUACAGGAUGUUGCAGCACAAGCUAUCGCAGAAAAAAGGCCAAUCAGCACAGGAAUCAACUGCACAAUUAGGCACACACCUGCAAGAAGGUCUGCACUCAAGAUGUGGUGGGUACGAGUCAUUCAGAGCCUUGGCUCUGGCUACACUGCUGGACCCAAGGUUCAAAAAUGUGGGUUUUGGAAAUCCUGCCAAAGCCCAGGAGGCUGAAAAGCAGAUCACACUGGAGUGUGCUUCGCUGAUGCGUUCAAACACAGCAACUCCUGAGCCACAGUCAACAUCAGGCCCAUCAUCAUCAUCAUCAACAACAACAUCAA